GACUUUAGUCCCUCUCUUAUCAUGCGCCUGUCCAGUUAAGUUGUAGAGAGUGUGGGUGCUGUGAGAAACUCAGCCUCCACAAACAGGCUGGUAUGUUGGGGUGGCCUGCUUUCAUAUAGUUUGGGUGCUGUGAGAAACUCAACCUCCACAAACAGGCUGGUGUAUUGGGGCAACCUGUUCUGUCCUCAGUAUUUCAGACCAAAGCAUGACCAUUUUAAAGAUAUGGAUCUACAAACAGUAUCACACUACCCGGCAAUACAUGGAUGUGUGCACUGCACUCAUUCAAAAGUACUCCUCGUUGAGAGACCAGACAGGGAAGGGAUAUGUAAGAAUUGUUACAUUUUCCUACUCACAUUAAUUCACACACUAGUAACCUUUUUACACCAUUGUGCCUAUCCAGAUCAUGAUGUGCUGGCUUGAAUAUAUUCUUCUCACAUUGUUAAACCAUCACAUUUCCAGCAGCAUAACAAGACCAUCUCUAGUUAUGUAAUUGACUAAGUCUGCUCGUCUGACAUCGGUCCU